UGCAAGUUGAGCGCUGAAGGUUGGUACUUGUACCGACUGGAUGAGCAGCGCACUGAUGAGUAACGCGUGGGGAAUCUGCCUUUGAGCGGGGGCCUAUAUUUGGAAACGAAUGCUAAUACCGCAUAAAAACUUUAAACACAAGUUUUAAGUUUGAAAGAUGCAAUUGCAUCACUCAAAGAUGAUCCCGCGUUGUAUUAGCUAGUUGGGGAGGGAAAAGCUCACCAAGGCGAUGAUACAUAGCCGACCUGAGAGGGUGAUCGGCCACAUUGGGACUGAGACACGACCCAAACUCCUACGGGAGGCAGCAGUAGGGAAUCUUCGGCAAUGGACGAAAGUCUGACCGAGCAACGCCGCGUGAGUGAAGAAGGUUUUCGGAUCGUAAAACUCUGUUGGUAGAGAAGAACGUUGGUGAGAGUGGAAAGCUCAUCAAGUGACGGUAACUACCCAGAAAGGGACGGCUAACUACGUGCCAGCAGCCGCGGUAAUACGUAGGUCCCGAGCGUUGUCCGGAUUUAUUGGGCGUAAAGCGAGCGCAGGUGGUUUAUUAAGUCUGGUGUAAAAGGCAGUGGCUCAACCAUUGUAUGCAUUGGAAACUGGUAGACUUGAGUGCAGGAGA
rnacentral:rRNA from 1 species